AAAAUAUAUAUUUAUACGCAAGUGCAAAAAGUGAUGUCGCAAUGGCAUUUUCCUAAUAGUUUAGCAGGGAGAAAGAAUAACAAUAACAGUAGGAGGGUCACGUGUCCCGUUUUGUCCUGACAAACGUGUGUGUGUGUGUGUGUGUGUGUGUGUGUGUCUGUGUCUGUGUGUGAGAGAGACCAUGUGACAUAAUGAAAAUCUCCUGUUCUGAUCCUGACUGAGGUUAUCGCCGUGUCACAUCAUCCUCGGUGCUGCUAAUAUCUCGAGAGGCAUCAUUCGUCAGCCAAUGCAAAGCACAGCAAGCCAUGUGAUGGAGAGCAAGGUUGGAAUGUAAAACUGAAGAUAACAUCUGAAACCUCCAUCGCGACUCACUGUCACAUGCGCAAAGUCGCCAGCCCAGGGGAAAUAUUUCAAGGAGCCGGAGGAGGUGGCUCGGGUAUCUGGUUAGAAAGCCUCCCGGAUGUCUCCCUGGUGAGGUGGUGCGGGCAAGUCCAACCGGCAGGAGGUCCCGGUCAUGACAUAUGGGACAUGACACGCUGGAGAGACAAUGUCUUCCGUCUGG